AACGCGAAGAACCUUACCCAGGCUUGACAUCCUUGGAAUUUCUCCGAAAGGAGAGAGUGCUUUAUUGAGCCAAGUGACAGGUGAUGCAUGGCCGUCGUCAGCUCGUGUCGUGAGAUGUUUGGUUAAGUCCAUCAACGAGCGCAACCCUUAUGUUUAGUUGAAUUUCUCUAAACAGACUGCCCUGGUAACAGGGAGGAAGGAGGGGAUGAUGUCAGGUCAGUAUUUCCCUUACGUCUGGGGCUACAAACACGCUACAAUGGCCGGUACAAAGGGCAGCCAAGUCGCAAGACGGAGCAAAUCCCAUCAAAGCCGGUCCCAGUUCGGAUUGCAGGCUGAAACUCGCCUGCAUGAAGUCGGAAUCGCUAGUAAUGGUAGGUCAGCUAUACUACCGUGAAUACGUUCCCGGGCCUUGUACACACCGACUGUAC
rnacentral:rRNA from 1 species